CUGUUCACGAGAUGUCAGAAUGUUGCUUUAUGUGGCCAGUGGUCAUAGGGCUCGUAGUCAUAUACUUGUUCAAAAUAUUCUUGUUCAAAGUUUCACCUUUGAUCAUGCUGGUGCCAAUAGGUCUGAUUAACCUAAUAAAUACGCUUUGUUAGCACUAUUGCUUUUUUUUUUUUUUUCCUUUCUUCCCCUCAUGCGCAACAUAUUUAGAAGUGGGAUAUUUACUUCCAGGCAGUAGAAGUCUUGUAUCAAGAUACAGACUCUGUGUGAGGAGGGUGGGGCAGCUGAGAGCAGGUCCACCUGCUUCUGCUACAGCCUGAUUAAUACUUUCUGUAACUGAAAAGGACAACCCUAACUGACCAAAAUCUGCAUGGUUCUAAUAAUAAAUGGAGUCAACAAACAAAAAGCACAUGUACAGGAACUAGGCACCUGCUGAAGAGAUCACUUCUCAUUGAGAGUAGCAUUCGAUGCCUGCUUAGCUUUGUUGAGUCAUUUGCAAAUGGGUUUCAUAGAAAUGUUGUUACACAGUUCAGAAAUUUCAUGAGGAUGCUAAUUAAAGGAGGCCAAUUGAAGGCCUCCAGAUGAGGCAGAAUCAUUAUAUCUUUCCUAGUAAUGCCUGAGGAAAGGUAGCAGCAAUCAUGAGACAUUUAUUUCAGUAAAUACUCUUCUGUUAGUACUGGUCCAGCUGCUUGGUGGCUUGCUGUAGCGUCCCCCUUAGCUUUCCCAGCUAUAUUUAUUCAGUUGCGCCAUAUGUCUUGUUUGAAGGAAAUCCUCUAGUUAAAAGACCAAGCACAAUGAGUGAUGGAGAAUGGAAUCCCUGUCUGAAGGCCAGCUGGAGCUCCAUGCAGAGGGGCUGCUUUGCCCGGGCAGGUUGGCCCAUGGUCUCUUUAGGAAGUACUCGAGGAUUUCAGCAUCGUCUCCCAUGACUGAGCCUGUGCAGGAGCAGGCUUUUUCUGUCCAUGCUCUGCCUUCUGUUGCAUGGAGGAAAACUGUUGGUUCCUUUAUCUUGCAUAUUAAAGGUGGAUUUUGUACCUCUUUCUCUCAGUGAAACAUCCCUGUGGCUAAUUGCAGUGACACUGAUAUUCGAAGGUUUCUAGAGCAGUUCAAUUUAAACAUUGUGACUUUGUGAGCCUGGCAUCGAGUGCUGGAAGGAGCACAUUUAUUGAAGACUUAAAACUAGUGGAGAUGUUGCUAUAUACGCUGUGAGAGAGCUGUUAUGCUUCUUCUCUUUGACUGUAUUAUUUCACUCAUUAGAAUAAACUAUCAGCAAAUCUCCUGUUGUAUGUUCUU
rnacentral:lncRNA from 1 species